CAAUAGCGUAUAUUAAAGUUGUUGCGGUUAAAAAGACUCGUAGUUGGAUUUCUGUUGGGAACGACCGGUCCGCCCAUUGGGUGUGCAUCUGGCUUGUUCUCGGCAUCUUCUUGGUGAACGUUGCUGCACUUGACUGUGUGGAGCGCUACCCAGGACUUUUACUUUGAGGAAAUUAGAGUGUUUCAAGCAGGCAUAUGCCUUGAAUACAUUAGCAUGGAAUAAUAGAAUAGGACCUCGGUUCUAUUUGUUGGUUUCUAGAGCUGAGGUAAUGAUUAAUAGGGAUAUUGGGGGCGAUUCGUAUUUAACUGUCAGAGGUGAAUUACUUGGAUUAUGAAAGACUAACUACUGCGAAAGCAUUUGCCAAGGAUGUUUUCAUUAAUCAAGAACGAAAGUUAGGGGAUCGAAGACGAUCAGAUAUCAU
rnacentral:rRNA from 1 species